GUUGAAUACGUUCCGUCUCCUUUAUCUCUCGCUACAAAGACACGAUACGCGCACCUCUUGGGUGACUCAAGGAUCCACCCUCAUCGCGUCCGACGAUCUCAGGCGUCCGACCCGCGUGGGCCCCACCCACUCCGUACUCAUGUGAGUACCUCAGGGUGCGUACGGAGGGCAUGGCCCAUCCGUGCGUGCAAUUAAGAAUGGCCCAACUGGCACCAGCUUUCGCUGGAAUUAUGUGCUGCGAUCCGCUCUGGGGGUGCCCUACUAACUGCAUAGAUGUUUGAAGGGGAGGAGCGACGAUUUUGAAGUUUGAAAGGAGACGGGGGCCAGGCUGGAGAGCACUUGGGGGCAGGCGUUACUUUUCCAACCAUGUAUUCAAUGUAAUAUGUGGUGUGCGUAAUGUAAUUGGUCGAGUGUCGGAGAAAUUAGGGUGGGAUUGGUUUGGUGGCAGAAGACUACAAAAUAGCCUCGGAAUCAGAGAUUGGAUCAUUACUGCGGUCCCGUCCAUCCAGCCUGUCAACUCGCCAACUGCACCUUCUAACGGCUCUCCUUUUUCUUCCUUUUUCUUUUUUUGCCCGUUAACUGCCAAAAAUCGAUACCUAAUCUGUUCGACCACAUGCGUUGAUCGACAGCCGGUCUUCCUUCCAUCCACCUUUAUCCAAUAUUCCUU
rnacentral:lncRNA from 1 species